ensembl:lncRNA
GAUCACUCUGUCAUGCUGAUUGAGUUCGAAUAACAGACUGGAAGCUUCAAAAGUAGGGUGGUGCUUGGAAUCAUUGUUCUUCCUCUGUCAAUCAUGGUUACCAAGACGAGACGGACAUCAUCCCGCACGCUUGCAGGCAAGUUUCAUAUCCACAGAAGCGUCACAUCAUUACCGCCACCAAAACCUUUUACAUUUUAGUUUUACAUGUAAAUUAUACAGCUACAUUUAAAUACACUGUAUGUUCUUUACAAAGAAGCUAGAAAGACGUUGACCUUGCGCUCCGCAGUUUCACACUGCGUUGCAAAUCCUUCGAGGAACGUGCUUCUCGGGCCUCUAUGGACAACGUAUGUUGUCUGGCAGAGCAAGGUCACUGUUACGAAGCAGAUAACUAAUGCGUUUGCACUACUCAACUGCCUCCUAGCUCAAGAACAAGAAGUGUACAUAAAAUGUUUGAUUUCUUUCUAUUAUGAAAUGUAACUUUUUAGAGAGAAUUUAGAUUAUUUUUUCUGUUUUCUAAUCGUUUCUCGCAUUAUAAUUUGUCUUGGAGAGAGAGAGAAUAUGUGCACAGUGAUGAUGAUCCAUGUGCUUUUUUAGUUUGUAUUUUUCAAUUAUAUUCUGUAUCAUUUUGAUUCCCCUUUGUGUUAAAAUAUCCCAGUGUACAGGCUUUGUGAUGAACCUACACUAUAUGUUGGACUUUGAGAAGAUUAGGACUUAAGUCUUCUUUUGUAUGAAAUGCAGUAGUCAUCAUUUGAGGAACUUGUGUUUUGCAUUAUGCAUGUAACCAUGUGGGUCUAUACGUAAACAAAUGCUAUAAAACAUCUGUCCACCAGAGAGCAGUAUUGCUGUAAUUUAGGAGAACAGAUCUCCUUGCUACUGCUACCAACUCCGUACAUAAUGUAGAUGUUAUGUCCAGCCACUUCUCAUUAUAGUUUAUUAAAGGUCCAAUGCAAACGUUACCUCAAUAUCAAAUAAUUUCUAGGUAACAAGUAAGUUCCUUCCUGUGAUUGUUUUACAUUUCAAUGGUACAAAUAAAUAAAAAUAAAGCUUCUUAGCAAAGGGCAAUUUCUCUAGCAAGAAUUUGGAAAUUAACUGUAGGAGUGGGGAGGGGAAAGCUGUUAUUGGCAGAGAGGUUCGGAACACUCUUUCUUAUUGGUCUAUUAACUCAUUU